rnacentral:misc_RNA from 1 species
UCUCCGUUGGUGAACCAGCGGAGGGAUCAUUACCGAGUUAUCAACUCCCAAACCCCUGUGAACAUACCCAACGUUGCUUCGGCGGGACCGCCCCGGCGCCCUCGGCAUCCCGGAACCAGGCGCCCGCCGGAGGACCCAAACUCCUGUUUAAACUAUAGUGGCAUAUUUCGAGUCUCACAAGAAAAAUGAAUCAAAACUUUCAACAACGGAUCUCUUGGCUCUG